AUACUUAUCUGACAGGGAGGCACUGAUCAGGAUGGUGGUUUUCAAGAAUAAGCCUCAUCACUUGCACUUCAGGUAGGCUGACUCCUGCAGUUUCCCUAGAUCCAAGCAGCUUGACUCUAAAUUUUGUGCUGGGGUAGACAGUUUUUCUUCUUUUUCCUG